UUGUGAUGAAACUAAACUGAUAUAGCUGGAAUUACCGGCAGAUUGUUCAGUGGUGAUCACUAGUUUUCUGAAC
rnacentral:snoRNA from 1 species